CCUANGGGAGGCAGCAGUGGGGAAUUUUGGACAAUGGGCGCAAGCCUGAUCCAGCCAUGCCGCGUGCGGGAAGAAGGCCUUCGGGUUGUAAACCGCUUUUGUCAGGGAAGAAACGGCUUGAAUUAAUACUUUGAGCUAAUGACGGUACCUGAAGAAUAAGCACCGGCUAACUACGUGCCAGCAGCCGCGGUAAUACGUAGGGUGCAAGCGUUAAUCAGAAUUACUGGGCGUAAAGCGUGCGCAGGCGGUUGUACAAGACAGAUGUGAAAUCCCCGGGCUUAACCUGGGAACUGCAUUUGUGACUGUACGGCUAGAGUGCGGCAGAGGGGGAUGGAAUUCCGCGUGUAGCAGUGAAAUGCGUAGAUAUGCGGAGGAACACCGAUGGCGAAGGCAAUCCCCUGGGCCUGCACUGACGCUCAUGCACGAAAGCGUGGGGAGCAAACAGGAUUAGAUACCCCGNUANUC
rnacentral:rRNA from 1 species